rnacentral:tRNA from 1 species
GGGCGAUUAGCUCAGUUGGCAGAGCAGCUGACUCUUAAUCAGCGGGUCCAGGGUUCGAAUCCGUGAUCGCCCUCCA